rnacentral:rRNA from 1 species
GAUGAACGCUGGCGGCGUGCCUAAUACAUGCAAGUCGAGCGAACAGGCGAGGAGCUUGCUCCUCUGACGUUAGCGGCGGACGGGUGAGUAACACGCGGAUAACCUACCUAUAAGACUGGGAUAACUUCGGGAAACCGGAGCUAAUACCGGAUAAUAUAUUGAACCGCAUGGUUCAAUAGUGAAAGACGGUUUUGCUGUCACUUAUAGAUGGAUCCGCGCCGCAUUAGCUAGUUGGUAAGGUAACGGCUUGCCAAGGCAACGAUUCGUAGCCGACCUGAGAGGGUGAUCGGCCACACUGGAACUGAGACACGGUCCAGACUCCUACGGGAGGCAGCAGUAGGGAAUCUUCCGCAAAGGGCGAAAGCCUGACGGAGCAACGCCGCGUGAGUGAUGAAGGUCUUCGGAUCGUAAAACUCUGUUAUUAGGGAAGAACAAAUGUGUAAGUAACUAUGCACGUCUUGACGGUACCUAAUCAGAAAGCCACGGCUAACUACGUG